rnacentral:tRNA from 1 species
UGACCACUAGAUUUGUGCACUUCUAGUGGUUGUGGUUAUAUUAGUUCCCGUUGCACAGCAAGACGUUGGAAA